AGAGUUUGAUCAUGGCUCAGAGUGAACGCUGGCGGCGUGCUUAACACAUGCAAGUCGAACGGUAACAGAAAGAAGCUUGCUUCUUUGCUGACGAGUGGCGCACGGGUGAGUAAUGUAUAGCUAACGUGCCCCUUAGAGGGGGAUAACAGUUGGAAACGACUGCUAAUACCCCAUACUCCUUCUUACUUAAUGUAGGUUGGGAAAGUUUUUUCGCUAAGGGAUCGGGCUAUAUGGUAUCAGUUAGUUGGUGAGGUAACGGCUCACCAAGACAAUGACGCCUAUCUGGUCUGAGAGGAUGAUCAGACACACUGGAACUGAGACACGGUCCAGACUCCUACGGGAGGCAGCAGUGGGGAAUAUUGCACAAUGGAGGAAACUCUGAUGCAGCAACGCCGCGUGGAGGAUGACGCAUUUCGGUGUGUAAACUCCUUUUAUAUAGGAAGAUAAUGACGGUACUAUAUGAAUAAGCACCGGCUAACUCCGUGCCAGCAGCCGCGGUAAUACGGAGGGUGCAAGCGUUACUCGGAAUCACUGGGCGUAAAGCGCGCGCAGGCGGGUUUGUAAGUUGGAUGUGAAAGCCUACGGCUCAACCGUAGAACUGCAUCCAAAACUGCUUACCUAGAGUCUGGGAGGGGAAGAUGGAAUUAGUGGUGUAGGGGUAAAAUCCGUAGAGAUCACUAGGAAUACCAAAAGCGAAGGCGAUCUUCUGGAACAGUACUGACGCUGAGGCGCGAAAGCGUGGGGAGCAAACAGGAUUAGAUACCCUGGUAGUCCACGCCCUAAACUAUGAACACUAGUCGUUACGGAGCUAGUCUCUGUAGUGACGCAGCUAACGCAUUAAGUGUUCCGCCUGGGGAGUACGGUCGCAAGAUUAAAACUCAAAGGAAUAGACGGGGACCCGCACAAGCGGUGGAGCAUGUGGUUUAAUUCGAAGAUACGCGAAGAACCUUACCAAGGCUUGACAUGUAAGGAACCUUGCAGAAAUGUAGGGGUGCUAGCUUGCUAGAACCUUAACACAGGUGCUGCAUGGCCGUCGUCAGCUCGUGUCGUGAGAUGUUGGGUUAAGUCCCGCAACGAGCGCAACCCUCGUCCUUAGUUGCCAGCGGUUCGGCCGGGAACUCUAAGGAGACUGCCUGCGUAAGCGGGAGGAAGGUGGGGAUGAUGUCAGGUCAUCACGGCCCUUAUGCCUUGGGCAACACACGUGCUACAAUGGGAUAUACAGAAAGUCGCAAUACCGCGAGGUGGAGCCAAUCUCUAAAAUAUCUCUCAGUUCGGAUUGUAGUCUGCAACUCGACUACAUGAAGUCGGAAUCGCUAGUAAUCGUAGAUCAGCUAUGCUACGGUGAAUACGUUCCCGGGUCUUGUACUCACCGCCCGUCACACCAUGGGAGUUGAUAUUGCCUUAAGUCGGAAUGCUAACCGUAAGGAGGCUACCGCCCACGGCUGUAUCAGCGACUGGGGUGAAGUCGUAACAAGGUAACC
rnacentral:rRNA from 1 species